GUAGGGUGCAGGCGUUAAUCGGAAUUACUGGGCGUAAAGCGUGCGCAGGCGGCUCCUUAAGUCAGAUGUGAAAUCCCCGGGCUUAACCUGGGAACUGCGUUUGAAACUGAGGAGCUAGAGUGUGGAAGAGGGGGGUGGAAUUCCAGGUGUAGCAGUGAAAUGCGUAGAGAUCUGGAGGAACACCGAUGGCGAAGGCAGCCCCCUGGGCUAACACUGACGCUCAUGCACGAAAGCGUGGGGAGCAAACAGGAUUAGAUACCCUGGUAGUCCACGCCCUAAACGAUGUCAACUGGUUGUCGGGGAAGCAAUUCCUUGGUAACGAAGCUAACGCGUGAAGUUGACCGCCUGGGGAGUACGGCCGCAAGGUUA
rnacentral:rRNA from 1 species